UACAGAGGGGGCGAGCGUUGUUCGGAAUUACUGGGCGUAAAGGGCGCGUAGGCGGCCUCUUAAGUCGAACGUGAAAUCCCCGGGCUCAACCCGGGAACUGCGUCCGAUACUGGGGGGCUUGAAUCCGGGAGAGGGAGGUGGAAUUCCAGGUGUAGCGGUGAAAUGCGUAGAGAUCGGGAAGAACAUCGGUGGCGAAGGCGCUCUUCUGGACCACAACUGACACUCAGGGACGAAAGCGAGGGGAGCGAAUGGG
rnacentral:rRNA from 1 species